rnacentral:rRNA from 1 species
GACGAACGCUGGCGGCGUGCUUAACACAUGCAAGUCGAACGGAAAGGCCCUGCUUUUGUGGGGUGCUCGAGUGGCGAACGGGUGAGUAACACGUGAGUAACCUGCCCUUGACUUUGGGAUAACUUCAGGAAACUGGGGCUAAUACCGGAUAGGAGCUCCUGCUGCAUGGUGGGGGUUGGAAAGUUUCGGCGGUUGGGGAUGGACUCGCGGCUUAUCAGCUUGUUGGUGGGGUAGUGGCUUACCAAGGCUUUGACGGGUAGCCGGCCUGAGAGGGUGACCGGCCACAUUGGGACUGAGAUACGGCCCAGACUCCUACGGGAGGCAGCAGUGGAGAAUAUUGCACAAUAGGCGGAAGCCUGAGGCAGCAACGCCGCGUGCGGGAUGACGGCCUUCGGGUUGUAAACCGCUGUCGCCUGUAACGAAGCGUGAGUGACGGUAAUGGGUAAAGAAGCACCGGCUAACUACGUG